rnacentral:rRNA from 1 species
GAUGAACGCUGGCGGCGUGCUUAACACAUGCAAGUCGAACGGAACUACUCCAAUGAGAGUCUUCGGAAAGGAUUUGGUUUAGUUUAGUGGCGGACGGGUGAGUAACGCGUGGGUAACCUGCCCUAUACAGGGGGAUAACAGUUGGAAACGACUGUUAAUACCGCAUAAGCGCACAGGAGCGCAUGCUCCGGUGUGAAAAACUCCGGUGGUAUAGGAUGGACCCGCGUCUGAUUAGCUGGUUGGCGGGGUAACGGCCCACCAAGGCGACGAUCAGUAGCCGGCCUGAGAGGGUGAACGGCCACAUUGGGACUGAGACACGGCCCAAACUCCUACGGGAGGCAGCAGUGGGGAAUAUUGCACAAUGGGGGAAACCCUGAUGCAGCGACGCCGCGUGAGCGAAGAAGUAUCUCGGUAUGUAAAGCUCUAUAAGCAGGGAAGAAAAUGACGGUACCUGACUAAGAAGCCCCGGCUAACUACGUG